ACCAGAGUACUACGAGCCACAGCUUAAAACUCAAAGGACUUGGCGGUGUUCUACAUCCACCUAGAGGAGCCUGUUCUAUAAUUGAUACUCCCCAAUAAACCUCACCAUCUUUUGCCACCACAGCUUAUAUACCACCGUCACUCAGCCCACCCUUUCAAGGACAAACAGUGAGCAAUAUCAUUAAAAAUUAAAAAGUCAGGUCAAGGCGUAGCAUAUAGGAUGGAAAGAAAUGGGCUACAUUUUCUUUAAAGAAAAUACGGAAUAUUUAAUGAAACAAUAUAUAAAGGAGGAUUUAGUAGUAAAAAGAAAAUAGAGAGUUCUUUUGAAAUAGGUAAUAGAACAAGCACACACCGCCCGUCACCCUCAUUAAUUAAAGAAAUUAUAAUAUAAAACAUACAACUUAAAGAAGAGGAAAGUCGUAACAUGGUAAGCCUACCGGAAGGUGGUCUUGGAAU
rnacentral:rRNA from 1 species